CAAAAUGUAGCUUAAUCAAAGCACCUCGCUUACACCGAGCAAAUAUCUGUUAAACUCAGAUCAUUUUGA
rnacentral:tRNA from 1 species